rnacentral:rRNA from 15 species
UUGAACGCUGGCGGCAUGCCUUACACAUGCAAGUCGAACGGCAGCACGGGGGCAACCCUGGUGGCGAGUGGCGAACGGGUGAGUAAUACAUCGGAACGUGUCCUGUAGUGGGGGAUAGCCCGGCGAAAGCCGGAUUAAUACCGCAUACGAUCUACGGAAGAAAGCGGGGGAUCCUUCGGGACCUCGCGCUAUAGGGGCGGCCGAUGGCAGAUUAGCUAGUUGGUGGGGUAAAGGCCUACCAAGGCGACGAUCUGUAGCUG